rnacentral:rRNA from 1 species
UACGGAGGUGGCAAGCGUUGCUCGGAAUCACUGGGCGUAAAGGGCGCGUAGGCGGGGAGGUAAGUCGGGUGUGAAAUCCCUCGGCCCAACCGAGGAACUGCGCCCGAGACUGCUUCUCUUGAGUCCCGGAGAGGAAGGUGGAAUUCCCCGGUGUAGCGGUGAAAUGUGUAGAGAUCGGGAGGAACACCGGUGGCGAAGGCGGCCUUCUGGACGGUGACUGACGCUGAGGCGCGAAAGCGUGGGGAGCAAACGGG